rnacentral:rRNA from 1 species
AUUCCAAACGAACUUGGAGAUAGCUGGUUCUCUCCGAAAUAGCUUUAGGGCUAGCCUCGCAAAGAGGAUGCUGGAGGUAGAGCUCUGUUUGGACUAGGGGCCCGUCAGGGGUUACUGAAUCCAGAUAAACUGCGAAUUCCAGACAUUUAUAUGCGGGAGUCAGACUGCGAGUGAUAAGAUCCGUAGUCGAAAGGGAAACAGCCCAGAUCACCAGUUAAGGUCCCUAAAUACAUGCUAAGUGGAAAAGGAUGUGGAGUUGCGCAGACAACUAGGACGUUGGCUCAGAAGCAGCCAUCAUUCAAAGAGUGCGUAAUAGCUCACUAGUCGAGUGACGCCGCGCCGAAAAUUUACCGGGGCUAAGCAUGAUACCGAAACUGUGGAUGCAUACGUAAGUAUGCGUGGUAGGAGAGCGUUCCAGCGGCGAAGAAGCAUGACUGAGAAGACAUGUGGAGCUUCUGGAAGUGAGAAUGCCGGUAUGAGUAGCGAAAGACAGGUGAGAAUCCUGUCCGCCGCAAGACUAAGGUUUCCUGGGGCAGGCUCGUCCGCCCAGGGUAAGUCGGGACCUAAGGCGAGGCCGAGAGGCGUAGUCGAUGGACAACAGGUAGACAUUCCUGUACUGCACCCAAUCGUUAUGAGCGAAGGAGGGACGCAGGAGGCUAGCAGCGCAUGGUGCUGGAAACCAUGUUCAAGCGCUGAGUCUGGAAAUGAGUCAAAUGCUUAUUUCCUCAAGGACAAGGCGUGAUGAGGAGCGAAAUUAAAGUAGCGAAGGCUGCGACGUCACACUGCCAAGAAAAGCUUCUAGCCAGAGAAGGUGCACCCGUACCGCAAACCGACACAGGUAGUCGAGGAGAGUAUCCUCAGGUGAGCGAGAGAACUCUCGUUAAGGAACUCGGCAAAAUGGCCCCGUAACUUCGGGAGAAGGGGCGCUGACUUAUGGUCAGCCGCAGUGAAUAGGCCCAAGCAACUGUUUAUCAAAAACACAGCUCUCUGCUAAAUCGUAAGAUGAUGUAUAGGGGGUGACGCCUGCCCGGUGCUGGAAGGUUAAGAGGAGUGCUUAGCGUAAGCGAAGGUAUGAAUUGAAGCCCCAGUAAACGGCGGCCGUAACUAUAACGGUCCUAAGGUAGCGAAAUUCCUUGUCGGGUAAGUUCCGACCUGCACGAAAGGUGUAAUGAUUUGGGCACUGUCUCAACGAGAGACUCGGUGAAAUUAUAAUACCCGUGAAGAUGCGGGUUACCCGCGACAGGACGGAAAGACCCCAUGGAGCUUUACUGUAGCUUGAUAUUGGGUGUUUGUACAACUUGUACAGGAUAGGUAGGAGCCGUAGAAGUCGGAACGCUAGUUUCGAUGGAGGCAUUGGUGGGAUACUACCCUCGUUGUAUGAACACUCUAACCCUCGCCGGCAAUCACGGCGGGGUCCAGCGUGGUGUCAUAGCUCAAGCGGCCGAAUCCGUAGAGGUUCGCAGCGGCCAGAUCGUGGCCGGUCCAGUUUUCAUCGUUGCCGGUGUUGGUCACGGCCACCAUUCCGUUGCCCGCGCCUUGGAUCAGCGCACGCACAUGGGCGUCGCCGUUCGGGCGGGUGUGCAUGUCGAAGUCCAAAAUCUGGCGGAACCAGGGCAUCAAGUAGCAGACGUGGCGCUGCUGGCCCGUGUACUCCUGCGCAAUUUGGAACUCCACGGCAAUGUGGGUGUGCUGCAGGCCGCCAAUCAGCGGGGAGACCGGUUCGCGCACCUGGAAGUCCAUGGGGCCGUUCUUGAUUUGCAGCGUGACGUUGUCGCGGAAGGUGCCGUCCAGCGGCAUAAAAUAGUCGUAGCCUGCGCGGG